UACGUAGGGUGCGAGCGUUGCCCGGAUUUAUUGGGCGUAAAGGGCUCGUAGGCGGUUUGUCGCGUCGGGAGUGAAAUCAUCUGGCUUAACUGGGUGCUUGCUUUCGAUACGGGCAGACUAGAGGUAUGCAGGGGAGAACGGAAUUCCUGGUGUAGCGGUGAAAUGCGCAGAUAUCAGGAGGAACACCGGUGGCGAAGGCGGUUCUCUGGGCAUGAUCUGACGCUGAGGAGCGAAAGUGUGGGGAGCGAACAGG
rnacentral:rRNA from 1 species